GCCUACAGCCAUGCCAUCCUGAACAAGCCCGAUCCCGUCUGAUCUGAGAAGCCAAGCAUGGUAGGGCCUGGUUAGUACUUAGAUGGGAGACCACCUAGGAAGACCAGGUGCUGUAGGCG
rnacentral:rRNA from 1 species